CCGCGGUGAAUACGUUCCCGGGCCUUGUACACACCGCCCGUCACACCACGAAAGUCUGUCAAACCAGAAGUCAUCGGGUUUUCCGAUGCCGAAGGUUGGGCCGGUAAUUGGGGUG
rnacentral:rRNA from 1 species